GUGUCAGCCGCCGCGGUAAUACCAGCACCCCGAGUGGUCGGGACGAUUAUUGGGCCUAAAGCAUCCGUAGCCGGUUCCUUAAGUCCUCCGUUAAAUCCACCUGCUUAACAGAUGGGCUGCGGAGGAUACUAUAGAGCUAGGAGGCGGGAGAGGCAAGCGGUACUCAGUGGGUAGGGGUAAAAUCCGUUGAUCCAUUGAAGACCACCAGUGGCGAAGGCGGCUUGCCAGAACGCGCUCGACGGUGAGGGAUGAAAGCUGGGGGAGCAAACCGGAUUAGAUACCCGUGUAGUCC
rnacentral:rRNA from 1 species